UUGAUUCAAUAAAGAAAACAAGGCUCGAGACGAGCCUUUGGCGAUCAAUAUUGUUUCGGCGUGUGCGUACAUGAGCUAUUAGCUGGAAUCGAUCUAGUUUCCGCAGUAGUGCAAUUAGUACUAGUACGUCUCUGACAAAGGAAUCGAUCGGAGACUGGUGCUAGCUUUGUACGUGCACAUCUUGCCGCUUGGGGCAGAAACCAAGCUAGUCAGCGUGGCUUCGCUUCGUUGUUGUUCGUCGUCGGUCGUAUCGCCAUCGCCGGAAGUACUCGGCGUCGGGACUGAGCCAACAGAGAAAAUGGAAAUCGUAUAUCAGAAGAAAACUGCUAGAGUAUGGGCUGAAGGGCCUGCACAAAAUACAGAUAUGCAAUAGGCUUGUGUAUUGCGGUGAAUAGGACAUCUUCGGCUCCUUUAUCCAAGGGCGUACCCACGUUCAACCUCAGGGAUGCACAGGACACCAGGUCAUUUUCUCGCUGGGUCCGCCCCUGUAUCGGGUAGCAUUUCAUGCAUUUCCAGCUAGCACUUUUGGCUCCAGAACUUCAACAGUAGCAGGAGCAGAGUCAAAUCCGAUAACAUAUCAAGAUAGCAAGUUAAAACCAACUCUGAGUAUGCACGUGCUGUCCACUCUGCUUCAAAUACCAGCAUUUGCCUUUUCGAGCUCAGAAAACAACAGCUUUGGGUUCAGGUCUCCUGUGCUGGCUCAUCCUUAACUGUGCCUGAUAUAAGUCUGUUCAGAAGUAUCUCAAGCUUCAGUAACCCCUUUGCAGAUAUAUGUUGUCGCAAACAUCGGCUUCAAAUCAAGCUUCACAUUUUGAGGUAAUGGGGUUCCGGUACCAAAUUUUUGCAAUCACCGUGAGAUUUUCGUAGUACUGUGUUUGACUAGUUUACCAAGUAAUUUAUAGGAAAUUAGACCAAAAUACAAGACGGAGUUUACCAUUGCCAACU